rnacentral:tRNA from 1 species
UUCGAUAUGGGGUAGUGGUUAACCUAGCGGAUUUUCAUUAUCUCUUCAAGAGUGUGUACUCCGCGGCCCCGGGUUCGAUUCCCGGUAUCGAAG